rnacentral:lncRNA from 1 species
UUAUUAAUUAUGAUUUUUCCAGUACUAUUUUACUGGCUUAUUUUCCAUUUUGUAACUAGGGAUGUAAAUGAGCUUUGGUCUAUAAAGUUAGGCUCAAGCUCGGCUUAUUAAGAUAUUUUUCAAGCUUGGUUUAGUGUAGUUAGAGUUUGUCUUGAUAACUAUUUUUCCAAGUUUGAUAAACUUGAGCUUGUUAAAUACUUAAAGGCUCUUUCGCUUGUUAGGUAUCCUCUAAUGAGUCGCCCAUUCUAAUUAUUUCUUUGAGCUUCUUAAAUGGUUUUGAUGAGGAUGUCACUAUGUCAGCUUGUUAAAGUGUAUUUAGGAUAUGUUUGACCAGCAUUUUUUCACUUCAACUCUCUCUCACAAAAUGAAAAUCUAUAGAAGCAUGAUUUUUUAAGAGAAUGUCUUAAUGUUUGUGCGUUCGAGAAAUACUGAAGAACUAUCUUCAUUGCAGAGAGUUUGUUGACAACAUAAGAUAUUUCGUGUCUCGUGAUAGUGUGUGAUACUGAAGAAUCCCGACAAUUUGUCGAUAGUCUUUUCUGUUAUUGAUUGGAUCAUUCUUUGAACGAAUAUCAUUUGGGUCUGUUGACCAGAUAAAACUGUUGAACCAGUAACAAUCUCUUCAUAUGCUUCAAUUCAUACAAAUCUUUCUUAUAACUAUUCUUUUAUUCAAGCUUCCAUGAAUAAAUACAUUGCCUAUGUUUAUCAGUCUAUUUGAAUCACCUUUCAAUUUCAUGCUAUAGCAUUGAUAAGCACUAUUCUAAUCGAUAGAAGCUUGAUUAUGGAGCUAAUUAGCUAAAAGUCUUGUUAAUAGUCUUUCCCUUCCAUCUGGUGCAUCCCAUUAGGAACGAAACGUACCUUGAAAUAUUUGACUAUACUAUCUGGCUUUUCUUCGAUUUAAAGAGUCAAGAACUAUUUUGAUUGCAUUGUCCGGUUUAAGAUUCAAGACGUGAGAAUAAUUACCAUGUUUCUUUGUUAAACAGUGCAUUAAAUUCUGCAUGUAGUAGUGAAGUCUUGAUUGAGGUGUAAUGAUGUUAGAUGCAAAUAUGGACAAAGCAUAUUUAGGAUUAGGCUUGCUUCACAAUACCCUGAACAUGUCUCUUUGCCAUAGGUCAGGUUAAUCCUUGCUUUGGAAGCUUGUAUUCAUCUUCAACUUUGCAUCAGAACUGACUGAUGAGUUAAGAUGAAUCGUCUGGAUAAUUGUGUCAAUAAAAGAAGAAUUCUUCGAUGAAGGUUCAUUCUCUUCACCGUCAUCAAUUUAUCAUAGGAAUGGUAGUCAUCAUUGUCUGUUCAGCCUCAUCAUCAUUACUAUAUGAGCUUAGCUUUAGGCUAAGACUGAAAUCAUCCUCUGAGAAUUUUACAUCUUCAUCCGAAUGAGACAAAUAUAUCCAUCACUAGUCGUCAGAUAAACAAGAAAUAUAUGUUUUGCCUGCUUACAAGCAUAUCAGGGAAAAAAUUAUUUACAUCUGAAUAAUUCACAACUUAUCAUUUUUUGAGAAAUUAAAACUUUCAUUACUGAAAAAGAGGUUGGGCAUAGCCCAAGAUUACAGAAUAUAGGGAAAUGCAAGUACAGUAAAUGUAAAAAAACAUUGUCUAUCUCUUAUAUAGCUAUGACCCUGACUAACUGACCAAGGACUGAAGCCUCAAGAGGUUGGACUCACAUGAGCAUAUAGCUUGUAUUUCAAUCUGUGAAAGAUUGUGCUUCUUAUAGGAUGUAGAUUCAUAUGCAAUGCUCAUAUCCUUUAUAAAAUAUGAGCGUAUAGCUUGUAUUUCAAUCUGUGAAAGAUUGUGCUUCUUGUAGGAUGUAGAAUCAUAUGCAAUGUUCCCAUGAGCGUAUAACUUAUCAUAUUCUGGUGCUCACUGGUAGAUAUCUUCCAUAAACUACAUGGGCUUUCCUAUCUCUGGUGGAAAGAAAACACGUAGUAUGUUGGAAAUUUAUAAAACCGAUGCAAGGAAUGUUGGAUAAAUGGAAAUGAAGGUGUCUCAUAUGCAGGGCUAUUGGUAAAAUUGGGUGCUAUAAGGAAAAUUCCAAUACUGGGCUAAUGGAACCACUCUCCCAAGCUCAGUAAUCAAAAAGAUCAAGAGCCUAUAACUUUAUAUGGGAUGGAAGAAGAUGUAGCAGUUGGAAGAGAAUGGUUCUUCCUAAAAAGAGAAGGGGGUAUCGAAGUUAAGGAUUUUUUGCUACCAAUGCUACUGCAUUGAUAAGAGCUGACAAAUGCUGAAGUCUAAAAAACUUAAUAUUUGCAGAUUGGAUAAAAGUUAGAUAUAUUAAGGGUAGGAGUAUAGAUGAUAUUAUAUGUAGACCUAACAUAGACUCGCAUAUGUGGAAAACAAUAUUGGCUAAUAAGGAAACCAUAAGUUUAUGUAUAGAAUGCUUAAACAAUCAUAUAAACUCAGGAAUUUAAACCCCCACUAAACUUGCACACACCUAUCCCCACUUCCCCAUUCAGAAAUCCUAAGACCCAAGAGUACCAAUCGAACUUUAAACUUAGGAAUUUGGUCUAGGAUCUCGCCCAAAUUCUCUAUCCUACUAUGGAGAAUUAUGGUCAGAAAUCUCAAUUACAUUGCAAGGAUGGGGCAUCAAUCUAUCGACAACCUGCCUUCUAUGUGGACUAGAGGAAGAAUCUAUCAAACACCUCUACUACUAGAGACCACAUACAACCUCAAUAAUGCCAUCUGGGUAAUGAGAGGGCAUGCCCCUCCAACACCUAAUGAGGAUAUCAGAAUAGGAGAUAUAAUGGACAUAAUAGAAAGGUUCAUUCAUAAAGCCAGUUGUUGGGGAACACACUGACUAGCACUUGGAUCUCUAUCUUGGCACAUAUGGUGUGAGAGGAAUAGAAGAUUAGAACAACACACCCUAAGGCCACCAUGUGUUGAGGACAUGGGCACAUAUGUGUGUAUUGCCUAUGUGAGUAUUUCUAUCCUGACACAUAUGUAAGUAUUGCCUAUGGGAGUCAAAUUGAAACAAAUACUAUAUUUCUAUGGGAGUCCAACCUCUUGAGGCACCAGUUCAUGGCUACAAUACCAGGGUUAUAGCCAUAGAAUAGAGUGACAAUAUUUUACAUGUUUUUACUACUAGUAUUUCAUUUCCCUACAUUUGUACCUGGGCAAUGCCCACCCAUUUUAUUUUCAGCAAUGAAAAUUUUAAUUUAUCAAAAAAAAAAUCUGGUGCUCAAUGAAAUAAUGGCCUCAUGGGUGAUUUGUUGUUGAAAAUUGUAGUGAG